rnacentral:lncRNA from 1 species
AAUCCACCUCUGCAUGUGAUCAUCUGCAUUUGACUCCUUGAACUAUGGCAGCCAGCUGGAGCCAUGAAGUAAGCCACCCUAACAUGAGUGGCAGAAACAUGGAGAGACAGGGUUUCACCAUAAUGGCCAGGCUGCUCUCCACCUCCUGGGCUCAAGCGAUCCACCCACCUCAGCCUCCCAAAAUGUUGGGAUUGCAGAUAUGAGCCAUAGUUCCCCUCCAUCAGUCUUAUAGUUAAAUAGACUUCAAAAGAAUGGAAGUGGCUCAGAUCCCUCUCAACUUCUAAGAGACCCUGAUCUCUCAUCCCAUUGGCCCUUCUAAUAGAGCUAUUGGCAUUCACAUCCUAUUUUCAGCCCAAAUGUCAGUUCCUGGAGUACAAAGGCGGUGGCUGCUUCAGAUGCUUCAGACUGAAACUGCUCUUUGCCAUUCUCAUGGACACUGGAGAGUUAAGUUUGGUUAAAUUGAUGCCUUUUUCUUUUAAAAAAGAAAGAAUACACAUAUACCUUUGUGUACACACAAGCUAGGAAACAUCAAUCUAAUACAUGGAUGGCAAGAAAAACCAGAUCUGGCUCAUGCCAGUUACAAUGGUCUGUGAAGAUAAAAAGAUUUCUUCAGAUUUAUUUCUCAGCCAAUUUCUGCUUUUCCUAGGGAGAAAUUAAAAGUUUGUUAAAUA